rfam:Ichthyophthirius multifiliis unplaced genomic scaffold scaff_1120509250826, whole genome shotgun sequence.
GGGGCUUUAGCUCAGUGGCAGAGCGGAAGACUGCAAAUCUUUAGGUCGCGAGUUCAAUCCUCGCAGGUCCCU